AAGAAAAAUAUAGACCUUUGAAAAGUGAACUGUGUGUGUUAAGAUAAGAUAAGAUUUGUACGUACUACUAACCAAAAAUAUGCAUCUCUUGUUAAAAAUCUAAACUCAUUAGUUAACACAUUUUUUGUAAAAGUGAAACUUGAAA